rnacentral:rRNA from 1 species
GACGAACGCUGGCGGCGUGCUUAACACAUGCAAGUCGAACGGAAAGGCCCUGCUUUUGUGGGGUGCUCGAGUGGCGAACGGGUGAGUAACACGUGAGUAACCUGCCCUUGACUUUGGGAUAACUUCAGGAAACUGGGGCUAAUACCGGAUAGGAGCUCCUGCUGCAUGGUGGGGGUUGGAAAGUUUCGGCGGUUGGGGAUGGACUCGCGGCUUAUCAGCUUGUUGGUGGGGUAGUGGCUUACCAAGGCUUUGACGGGUAGCCGGCCUGAGAGGGUGACCGGCCACACUGGGACUGAGAUGCGGCCCGGACUCCUACGGGAGGCAGCGGAGGGGAAUAUUGCCCAAUGGGCGGAAGCCUGAUGUAGCGACGCCGCGUGCGGGAAGACGGCAUGCGGGUUGGAAACCGCUUUCGCCUGUGACGAAGCGUGAGUGACGGUAAUGGGUGAAGAAGCACCGGCUAACUACGUG